rnacentral:sRNA from 1 species
UUUUUUUUUUUUGGGAUUACUGCAUGCUAAGCCUUACCUCUUCGAAUGCUCACAACAGCUCCAUGGAAGAGGCGAUACAAAUCUCUUCUAUUCACGUGUGUAAGACUGGUCUUUAGGAAUUUGUGUUCCAGGAAUAGGGAAGACAGAACUGCAAUUUAUAGCCAGGCACAUGGUAUGAAGCCGAGGAAUGCUCUACUGGGCAAUCACUAAGAUCGUGUGCACUUUCUGAAAUGCUUUGUAUAUAUGAGUGUCCGAGAGUCAACUGGUUAGGGUCAUCUACGGGCUUUUCCAUUUCAUAUGGUACUACCAUGAGAAGGCUGUCAAUACCAGUGUUAGGGCACACACCGUAUUUAUUAAUGUGCGAGGAAGAGUCUAUCUGUGCUAAGAGGCUUCGAGAGUCCCCGUUGAUCACCCUGCCCCCUGACUUCCUAAGAACAGCCACCUGCUGUGUCACAGGAAGCUCCAGAUGAUGGUGUCUUGCCAUCUGGUGACUGAUAUGGUUAUUUUGGGUCCCACCCUUUGCUGGCUGUUUGACUUGAGGCAAGGGACUUAGUCAUCAGGGAACCUACUUCUCUCAUCUGUGAAAUAAGGAUAAUGAGACCGACUCCUGCCUUCCUCACAGGGAGGAGGAAGCCUCCUGAGAGAGAGAGUCCUUUGAUGUGCUUGAGAGCACUCUUAACUGCACUGGCCAGGUACUCCAGUUGCUGGGUGAAAGUUUUAUGGCCAAAGAUUCCCAUAGCCCAUAAUCUCCGCACUCCCAGAAGGCCAGUGAUAGAUUUGACUGUCGCAGUUUCUGCCUGCCAUGGGCAGAGAUUUCUCAGAGCCUUAGUCAUGUAAUAGGCGGUUUCCCUGGAGUGUUCUUGCCAAUGCUUAUUUAUGGAGUAUUUCUGGAGAGUUCCUACAAGCAAAUGGCAGUUUCUCACCGUUCCCCUGACCUGCCCAUAGCAGUUAUCUCUGGCUUCAUGGAAUGGUGGGAUGCUUUAAGAGCUGCACGUGUCUGCAUUUUCAACAAUCUGGAAGUGCUUUUCUUCCACCCCAUCCCCUGGGACAUUUUUUAAAAAAUGUAUUGAAAUAUAAAUAUGCUCAUCUUUUCAUUUCUGGUCUGUACUGUCACCAAAUGCAUCUGAAGAGUCACCUUGUCCCCAACCCAGUUCUCUCUUCAUGUUUAUCCACUGCCAACUGAUGAAGUGAUGGAGAAGCCACUUCUCUCCUUGAAACCCACUAGAUUCUCCAUCUCCACAGAAUAAACAAUAAACAAGGGCUGUUGAAAGCAGGUUAAAAGGAUGCUAGCCUCACAAGCCUGAUGACUCCAGUUCGGUCCUCAGAUGUGGGGCCAUCUCCUAGAGCAUGAGCCACAGUCUUCCCGGACAAGACAUAGCCAUUGCAUGAACUCACAGCAGCUGUGCUUGCAGUAAAGAGUUUGAGGAAGAAGCAGCUGAAGGUUCUGAAGCCCGCCUUCCACCUUCCACAAUCACUGAAAGAUGCCGAGAAUGAGCCUUAUGUGGAGAACCUGUCUGGCUGAGCGACAUGGAGCUAAGGCUCUUCUCUAGGGCAGAUGCAUUGCUGUGUCCUGACAGCCUGUGCUGCCCUCAGUUGAAGGUGUGGAUAAUUAAGCUCCCUGCAAUACCCAUUUGAGGCUGCUCUGUGGGAAGUGUUUCUCUUCAGGUGGUCAUGCCAGGUGAGUGUUUUUUGGGUCUUUAUCCCCCAACACUAUCACUGAAGCACCAUCGAAUAGUUACUGUACUGGCAAUUGCUAUGUCAGUAGCAGUGCUUGUCACGUGAUGAGAAUUGGGUAAGCCAGGGGUUAUGGCUGGUGAGUCUAAGUGGUAAACUCUACAUUCCAUUGCCAACAGCCCUCCAUUCUUGGUGGCUGAACAGCUACUUGUGCUUUGAUGCUAAGUAUGUUGCUAUUGGGAGUUUGUCUUCUCAACAGACAACUACUUGAGGACCUGACCCCUUCCAUUUUGUGAAUAUCAUCUUAACCAAGGAGACGUUGAAGUCAUUGUGGAAGGGGAAGAGAGAGUGUGGCAAUAGGUCAGAGGCUGUGAUGAGCACCCAUUGGCCAGCAUCCUACUGAACUGACUGCAAGGGAGAUCCAGAGAUGUGGUCUUGCGUGUUUGGGGAAAAGAGGAAACAGGAUUGAAGAGCAUCUAGAAGCUUCUGUCAUUGUGCAAGCAGCAGAGGGAGAUUGUACACUUGGAAGUCUAACUGGAAGUCAUAAAAUGGAGGGGGCAUGUUGGAGAACAGGGUGGAAACCAGGGGAGGGUUAGUUAGACCAUGUCAGUCAAAGCCAAUCUCAGGUUAGUGGUGCAGUGUUUGUGUCCUUGGCUCUCCCAUCCUCUAGGGCUUGCGCUGGUUAGACUGUGAAGGCAUCUGAGAAUCUGACAACCGUUAAAGGGCUAGAGACAGGCAUUUAUAAGAAAGGAAACAACAGAAGAGAAAACAUGCGGAUAGUGCCAAUCACCGCAGUUAAGAACUCUGGUUUCUUCACACAGCCCUAUUUGUCUCCCUCUGGUGACCAUUAUAAGCAAUCACAGUUCCCUUGGAGACUAACGAUAGCAGCUUAAGCAAGAUCAAAUUGUCUAUCUCCUCUUUCACGGGAGGAUCCUUGAUGUUAGACUCCCAGCAGAUGACAUACCCUGUUCCAACAGCAGCUCUUGGUGAUGGUUCCUGUCAAGUGAUGUAAAACCCAGCAUAGAAACCGAGGAGACUCAUUUGACUACCUUCUGUCUAUCUAGAGCAGUGGUUUUCACCCUU